rnacentral:tRNA from 1 species
UGAGGAUAUAGCUCAGUUGGUAGAGUGCUUGCCUUGCAUGAGCAAGGCCCAGGGUUCAAUCCCCAGCACCACAA